rnacentral:rRNA from 1 species
CAAUUGAAGGGUUUGAUCCUGGCUCAGAAUGAACGUUGGCGGCGUGGAUUAGGCAUGCAAGUCGAGCGAGAACCCGCAAGGGGGACAGCGGCAAACGGGGUAGUAACGGGUAGGCAACGUACCCUCGGGACGGGGAUAGCCACGGGAAACUGUGGGUAAUACCCGAUAAUCUCCUGUUUCUUUAUGGAAUGGGAGCAAAGGUGAGAUUCCACCUGAGGAGCGGCCUGCUUCGUAUUAGCUAGUUGGUGAGGUAACGGCUCACCAAGGCUUCGAUGCGUAGGGGGUGUGAGAGCAUGACCCCCACCACUGGGACUGAGAUACUGCCCAGACACCUACGGGUGGCUGCAGUCGAGAAUCUUCGGCAAUGGGCGAAAGCCUGACCGAGCGACGCCGCGUGUGGGAUGAAGGCCCUUGGGUUGUAAACCACUGUCAGAGGGGAUGAAGUGCAUGUGAGUUAUCUCAUGUGUUUGACAUAGCCUCAGAGGAAGCACGGGCUAAGUUCGUGCCAGCAGCCGCGGUAAUACGAACUGUGCAAACGUUAUUCGGAAUCACUGGGCUUACA